rnacentral:misc_RNA from 1 species
UACGGAGGGUGCAAGCGUUAAUCGGAAUUACUGGGCGUAAAGCGCGCGUAGGUGGCUUGAUAAGCCGGUUGUGAAAGCCCCGGGCUCAACCUGGGAACGGCAUCCGGAACUGUCAAGCUAGAGUGCAGGAGAGGAAGGUAGAAUUCCCGGUGUAGCGGUGAAAUGCGUAGAGAUCGGGAGGAAUACCAGUGGCGAAGGCGGCCUUCUGGACUGACACUGACACUAAAAUGCAAAAGCAUAAGUAGCAAACAGG